UCAGAUUCCAAGCCUAUUGUCUAUAUGAGUUCAUUGUAGUUAUCAAUCAUCAAUCACAUAUUUUUCAUUAAUUAUUAUAAAGUACAAAAAAUAAAGGAAAAUAAAAAUAAAAAGAAAGAAAAAGAAAUAAAAAUUGCAACUCUCCUACAGCUAUUGGCAAAAAAGAAAGGGCUAAAACGGCAUAAAAGCACAAAAAUCGGCAAAAUCGGGCGAUCUAUGGAUGCACAACUGAUCAGCUAUGCGCACAAUCGAUAGGUUGUAGGGUAUAUGCAGUCGGUUGUGGCUUUUGAGUCAGCAAUUCAGGCUAUUUCUCCAUCUUUUCCUAGUUUUCAGCGAUUUUAGGCUCUACAAAUAGCCAUAAAAGACAAAAAAUAAUUAGCAAAGUAUUAAAAGUAAAUAAAAUAGAGCAUGAAAGAAUCAUAAUAAAAGAUCAUAUACCCUAACAUAUUAGAUCAUAUAAUAAGAGGGCAAAUAGGUUGUGAUUUUAGCUAAGUAGAAACAGAGUUGAAAUCCAAUCAUUUAUCAUCAUAUGCAGAAAUUAACUAACAUUCAUAUGAAUAAAAAUAAAAACAAAAAUUAAUAUAUCUCUAAAAAAUACUGAUUAUUGAAUGGUAGAUUAAUCAAAUAGGAAAUACUAACAAAUGAAAAAUGCAAAUAAGAAACUAUCCUAGAACAUAUUAGAAUGAUAGUUUCAGAGAUAAACAUAUUUUAAAAGGACAAGUUAAUACAAAGAAUAUUGGAUCUAAUCAUGGCAAAAUUCAAUUAUUAAUAAAUUACCCUGAACAUACAAACCUAUAAACAUAAAGCCUAAACAUUUAUAAUCAUGGAAAAAUUAAUAGGCGUAACCUUGAAAAUCAUGGCUCUUAAUCAUGAAAGCAAUUAAGACUAAAUCUAACAUAUUAAGAUUUAAAUCCGAAGCAUGUAACAAACUAACAGAUAUAACACCUAAAUCAACAGGUGAUAACAGAUCUAAGCAGAUAAAAGUAUAAAAUUGAAAUAAAUAAAAGAAAUAGAGAGAAAAUGAAUCGAUGAUAAUUGAUGAUAGAGAACCCUCAAGUUUUCACUGUAUCGUGCAGACUUGCAAAUCUCAAAAAGAGAGGUUGGUUUAAAGACUGGGUAUUGGCUAGUAUCCUCCCAAGUGUUUAGGUGUUUAGGAAUCUAGUACAUUCAAGUUUUUUAUCAAAAGACUUACCAAAAAUUGCUAGCCCACAAUGUCUAGUGGUUUCUUUUUCUAUCUAUAGACAGGAGAGAAAAUCCUAAGAACCUGAUAAAAAUAAUAUGGAUAAUUAUUAAUAAUUUAAAAUAAAUAAAUGAAUAUAAACCCUUAUCAUAUUUGUUUUUAUCGAUAGAUAAGACUCUUAAAACUUUGAUAGUAUCAAAAAU
rnacentral:lncRNA from 1 species